rnacentral:tRNA from 1 species
ACCCCCGUAGCUCAGCAGGAUAGAGCAACAGAUUCCUAAUCUGUGGGUCGGCGGUUCGAAUCCGCCCGGGGGUA